CAGUCGAACGGACUUAUACUGAAACCUAGUGAUUUAUGAGUUAGUGGCGGACGGGUGAGUAACGCGUGGAUAACCUGCCGUAUACCGGGGGAUAACACUUAGAAAUAGGUGCUAAUACCGCAUAAGCGCACGGCUCCGCAUGGGGCAGUGUGAAAAACUCCGGUGGUAUACGAUGGAUCCGCGUCUGAUUAGCUAGUUGGCGGGGUAACGGCCCACCAAGGCAGCGAUCAGUAGCCGGCCUGAGAGGGUGGACGGCCACAUUGGGACCGAGACACGGCCCAAACUCCUACGGGAGGCAGCAGUGGGGAAUAUUGCACAAUGGGGGAAACCCUGAUGCAGCGACGCCGCGUGAGUGAAGAAGUAUCUCGGUACGUAAAGCUCUAUCAGCAGGGAAGAAAAUGACGGUACCUGACUAAGAAGCCCCGGCUAACUACGUGCCAGCAGCCGCGGUAAUACGUAGGGGGCAAGCGUUAUCCGGAUUUACUGGGUGUAAAGGGAGCGUAGACGGCAGCACAAGUCUGGAGUGAAAUCCCGGGGCUUAACCCCGGAACUGCUUUGGAAACUGUGCGGCUGGAGUGCAGGAGGGGUAAGCGGAAUUCCUAGUGUAGCGGUGAAAUGCGUAGAUAUUAGGAGGAACACCGGUGGCGAAGGCGGCUUACUGGACUGUAACUGACGUUGAGGCUCGAAAGCGUGGGGAGCAAACAGGAUUAGAUACCCUGGUAGUCCACGCCGUAAACGAUGAUUACUAGGUGUCGGGGGAUCAAGGUCCUCCGGUGCCGGCGCAAACGCAUUAAGUAAUCCACCUGGGGAGUACGUUCGCAAGAAUGAAACUCAA
rnacentral:rRNA from 1 species